rnacentral:misc_RNA from 1 species
GAUCCCAGUGCUCACGGUCAUGGGGCUGACGCUCUCUGGAAUCAUCGGUGGACAGAUCAUUCUGGAGAACAUGUUCGGCAUCCGCGGCGUGGGCAGCUACCUGCUCUACACGAUCACCAAUCGCGACUUCCCGCCGUUUCAGGGCACCGUGGUGAUCAUCUGUGUCGUCGUGGUGUCGGUGAACCUGAUCGUCGAUCUGCUGUAUGCGUGGCUGGAUCCGCGCAUCCGCUACUCGUAGGACGGGGUGAACAUCAUGGCGCAAUCACAGUCCGCAGGUGUUCUCACCGAUCU